GUUCAGGACUUGUAUAAAAUUUUUGUAUAGGGGAACCGAUACGAUAUUCCGAGUAUUAACCAACAGUUACCUUGUAUGUGGUUUCCCAUAGUACACUAAAUCAUAGUCACUAAUUAAUGCAUAACACCGUUUUGAACAUGCUGAGUCUCUUGACUCACAGAUUAUACCUUUUUUUUUCAGAGAAUGAGGCAAAUGAGAUAGGAGACAUUGACCAAUGAGCCAGCUCGGAACAAGGUUUCAGGUUUCCAACAGAAAAGUUCAAGGGUUAAGUGAUUUAUACUGAACUGUUCGAAGCAAAACUGCACUAACAGGACAAGCAAAAAUACAUAAUAAAUUCAGAAAUUGGAACAUUCCCUGUCCAUAACAACGUAUCCCAGCUGCCACACAAGUUCCAAAUCAAAGCAUAAGAUCCAGUUAAACAAAUCCAGCAUCAGAUUCAACAAAUUCCUACAAUGAUCUAUAUCUAAUUCAGAUUUUGGUACCUCUAGAUUCUGAAUACUAGAAACCAUCUGUCAAUGUGAAAAUAAGAAGAUUACUUUGGUUUUAUCAUGUUCAGAAAGCUGCACAAGGAAUUAAGCACAUCACAGAAUGGAUUUGGCACACAACAGAAUUUCCCUUCCAAAAUUUCAGAAUUCAGAUUCAAAGUUCUGAAACAGCAAGUGAAAUAACAGAAUUCAGCUUCAAGGAAAUUGUAAAAGUAAUAAAGCCUAAGAUGAUCAUACAAUUUUUCACUCAAUCUUGA